GAUGAACGCUAGCGGCAGGCUUAAUACAUGCAAGUCGAGGCGCAGCACGUUUCGCAGCAUUGCGGGACGGUGGCGACCGGCAAACGGGUGAGGAUCGCGUACACAAUCUUCCCAGAGCAGGGGGAUAACCCGGGGAAACGCGGACUAAUACCCCGUAGUUUACUUUGAAGGCAUCUUUGAGGUACUAACACCCCGGUGGCUUUGGAUGAGUGUGCGUCCCAUUAGGUAGUUGGCAGGGUAACGGCCUACCAAGCCUUCGAUGGGGAACUGGUGUGAGAGCACGAACAGUCAAACGGGCACUGAGGCACGGGGCCGGCUCCUACGGGAGGCAGUAGUAAGGAAUAGUGGUCAAUGGACGCAAGUCGGAACCAGCCAUGCCGCGUGAAGGAAGAAGGUCCACUGGAAUGCAAACUGCUUUUAUAGGGGGCGAAAAGAGGGUUUUUUAACUCACUUGACGGUACCUUAGGAAUAAGCUCCGGCUUACUCCGUG
rnacentral:rRNA from 1 species